ACCCCAAAACUGCACCCUAAGGAGUAACCAAACAAGACGAGUCAUUCACGAAGUUCCUCCAGAAGACUCCUGUCUGUGUCAUGUUGUACAAGUGGCUGGAGGAGGCUACAUCUGAAUGAUCACAAGAAGGACAUGCUGAGACCUCCCAAGGUUCUGCUGAAUGGCAGGUGUGUUCCCUAUGCCCAGUGCUCCCACGCAGCUCCAAGUGGAAGGUGGAGAGGAGGCAGUCCUUCUCCUGUGUUGGUUUUUGCACCUCGCAGUCCAUUACCAGGGCUAUUACAGCCCAAUAGGCUGGCAUAUUCCUGCCACUCCAUCAGUCCGGCUUGACUUGAGCUACAGCAGCAGAUACACUGCCCCCAGAGACAAUUGUCCCCACCCUCUGGCAGCCAAGUGGCCACCUCCCUUAUGGAAGAUGGAAUCAGGCCUGUUUUAUUAUCAAGAAGCACAAUAUCUCUCAAGAUCAACUUAUCAGUCCUUGCAUUGUCUAAGAAAGUGAGACUUGGGGCCAGUGUUAUGGCAUAGUAGGCUAAGCCUCCGCCUGCAAUGCCAGCCUUCCAUAUGGGCUCCGGCUUGUGUCCAGCUGCUCCUCUUCUGAUCCAGCUCUCUGCUUAUGGCCUGGGAAAGCAAUGGAAGAUGGCCCAAGUCCUUGGGCCCCUGAACCCACAUGGGAGACCCAGAAGAAGUUCCUGACUCCUGGCUUCAGAUUGACUCAGCUCGGGCUUUCGUGGCCAUUUGGGGAAUAAAUCAACAGAUAAAAGAUCUUUCUCUCUGUCU
rnacentral:lncRNA from 1 species